rnacentral:rRNA from 1 species
UUACAAUGGCAGGUACAGCGGGAAGCCACCUGGCGACAGGGAGCGGAACCCGAAAGCCUGUCUCAGUUCGGAUUGGAGUCUGCAACCCGACUCCAUGAAGCUGGAUUCGCUAGUAAUCGCGCAUCAGCCACGGCGCGGUGAAUACGUUCCCGGGCCUUGUACACACCGCCCGUCAAGCCAUGGAAGCCGGGGGUGCCUGAAGUGCGCUGCCGCAAGGAGCGCCCUAGGGUAAAACCGGUGACUGGGGCUAAGUCGUAACAAGGUAAC